rnacentral:rRNA from 1 species
GUAGUCUGCAACUCGACUACAUGAAGCUGGAAUCGCUAGUAAUCGCGAAUCAGAAUGUCGCGGUGAAUACGUUCCCGGGUCUUGUACACACCGCCCGUCACACCAUGGGAGUCAGCAACGCCCGAAGCCGGUGACCCAACCGAAAGGAGGGAGCCGUCGAAGGUGGGGCCGAUAACUGGGGUGAAGUCGUAACAAGGUAAC